GCUGUGGAACUUCUACGGGAGGCAGCAGUGGGGAAUUUUGGACAAUGGGGGCAACCCUGAUCCAGCAAUGCCGCGUGAGUGAAGAAGGCCUUCGGGUUGUAAAGCUCUUUUGUCAGGGAAGAAACGGUAGUAGCUAAUAUCUAUUACUAAUGACGGUACCUGAAGAAUAAGCACCGGCUAACUACGUGCCAGCAGCCGCGGUAAUACGUAGGGUGCAAGCGUUAAUCGGAAUUACUGGGCGUAAAGCGUGCGCAGGCGGUUGUGUAAGUCAGAUGUGAAAUCCCCGGGCUCAACCUGGGAAUUGCAUUUGAGACUGCACGGCUAGAGUGUGUCGGAGGGGGGUAGAAUUCCACGUGUAGCAGUGAAAUGCGUAGAUAUGUGGAGGAAUACCGAUGGCGAAGGCAGCCCCCUGGGAUAACACUGACGCUCAUGCACGAAAGCGUGGGGAGCAAACAGGAUUAGAAACCCCGGUAGUCCUACCACGU
rnacentral:rRNA from 1 species